CUCAACUGCCUUCAGCAAUCUGGACAGAAGAAUCCAUCUCCUCUCAGACCAGCUCUGUUUACAGAAAUUUAUUGCUUUCAAUAUAUAAUAAGCUGACUGAAUCAUCCUUGGAAUAAUCUUGCAAAGUUAGCAAGCUGAGAACCAAAGAUGCUUAAUGAGAAAAUGACAUUGUUUUAGUUACAUCAAGCCCUGGAAUACAAUAGGACCUUAUUAGUGAAGUGCAUGUUCGUUUGAAGGCAAUUAACUCAGCAAUCCACACUGAAAAACAAAGUGAAUGAAACAGAUGGACAAUGAACUGGACCCAGAAGCAAGAGAGCGUCUAAGGUAGAUAUCAGGAAGUAAGCAGUAUUCUCAAGCAUGCCAAGCUGUUGGUCUUAAUAGGAACUCAUCUUGGAUACCAAUUCAUUGGAACACCAACA